rnacentral:tRNA from 1 species
CAGAGCGUAGCUAAAAAGCAUAGCAUCUCCCUUACACCGAGAAGACACCCGUGCAAGCCGGGUCGCACUGA